rnacentral:misc_RNA from 1 species
UCCGCUCUAGUCUUCAAAUUUACAAACUUCCCCACAAUUUUACAAUCGUCUGUCAAAAAUCCAAAUAUGAGCCAGUUUCUUUCCCCGCACUUUCUGGUGUUUUGGGUGAGAAAACCACAAUUUUCACCAAAGCUUUUAACCAUCCUCCUGCUGCGUGUUAAGUGAUCAAUUCUCAAAGUAGCCGAAGCAACUUCCCAUCUGCAAGCCCUCUCGAUUGAAGUUACAUAAAGACUGCAGCUGUUACUCUGAAAUCUGGAGAUUCUUAUCAAGCAAGCACACAUGAUUGUUAUCAAGAUCUCUUUGACCAAGUGGCUGGCCCGUCCAUUGGUGUGCUACCUGCCAUAUGAUUUCCAAACCUCUCGCCAUUGUCUCCUAGUGCCACUUCUUUCAAACUGAUAGUUCUGUACAUCUGUGUAUGUGCUAUAUGUGCUUCUUCCAUUAUGUUUCUUUCUGGCAUUCAUCCGCUCUUCUUCAAGAUCAUACUUUGAACGCUUAGUAGGAUCCGAAAGUACUGCAUAUGCCUCCCCAAUCAUUUUAAAAAGUCUGUCCGCAUGCUUGUGGAUUUCUUCUCCUAUCUCCUUCCAAAGCCCAUCAUCUCCAUUCUCACUUCUUGCCAAGGACUGACCAGCCUUGUCAGGAUGGUGCCUAAGUGCAGCUUUCCGAUAUGCCUUCUUAAUUUCUGAGGCUGAAGCAGAAGGUUCAACUCCCAAAAUGAGGUACAUAUCCAGAGGAAUCUUCUUUCUAGCUGCUUCUUCAAUC